GGGUCAAUUUGACUCAGUGGUAGAACUUGUGUUUAGCAUGCACAGGCCCUGGGUUCAAUCCCUAGUGCCCCG
rnacentral:tRNA from 1 species